AGAUUGAACGCUGGCGGCAUGCCUAACACAUGCAAGUCGAACGGGAGUAGCAAUACUCUAGUGGCGGACGGGUGAGGAAUACGUAGGAAUUUGCCCUUAAGUGGGGGAUAACCCGGGGAAACCCGGAUUAAUACCGCAUGACCUCGAAAGAGCAAAGUGGGGGAUCGCAAGACCUCACGCUUUUGGAGAAGCCUACGUCGGAUUAGCUAGUUGGUGAGGUAAUGGCUCACCAAGGCGACGAUCCGUAACUGGUCUGAGAGGAUGAUCAGUCACACCGGAACUGAGACACGGUCCGGACUCCUACGGGAGCAGCAGUGGGGAAUAUUGGACAAUGGGCGCAAGCCUGAUCCAGCAAUGCCGCGUGUGUGAAGAAGGCCUUCGGUUGUAAAGCACGUUUAAGUUAGGGAAGAAAAAACGUCGACUACUAACACACGUGAGUCGUUGACGGUACCGACAGAAUAAGCACGGACUAACUCUGUGCCAGCACGCCGC
rnacentral:rRNA from 1 species